CCCUUAGAUGUUCUGGGCCGCACGCGCGCUACACUGAUGCAUUCAACGAGUUUCUUCCUGGUCCGAGAGGAAUGGGUAACCUUUUGAAAGUGCAUCGUGAUAGGGAUAGACUAUUGCAAUUAUUGGUCUUCAACGAGGAAUUCCUAGUAGACGUAGUUCAUCAGACUGCCUCGAUUACGUCCCUGCCCUUUGUACACACCGCCCGUCGCUCCUACCGAUUGAAUGCUCAGGUGAGCCAUUCGGACUUUCAUCAUGCUGGUUUCCAGUUUUGAUGAAGGAAAGUCUUGCGAACCUUAUCAUUUAGAGGAAGGAGAAGUCGUAACA
rnacentral:rRNA from 1 species